rnacentral:lncRNA from 1 species
GGCCCCGACCAAAGAAAGGCAAAAUGCCUGUGCGACCGCCGUCGCGACUCACCGACCGAGCUAUGGUCGGUCGAAGGAUAUUCGGCUUACCACCAUCUAUCACACGAAGCGACCACCGUCGCAUUCACGACUCACCGACCGAGCUACGGUCGGCCGGGAGAUAUUCGGCUUACCACCGUAUAUCACGCGGCGCAGUGUAAGUACCCGACACAAGGGUAUCGGGAUCCGACUUAUCAUCGUUUCUCCGACUAAACGCGUCGGACGAUAUUUGACUG